rnacentral:misc_RNA from 1 species
UCUCCGUUGGUGAACCAGCGGAGGGAUCAUUACAGGACUCGCAAGACUCCUACAACCCUGUGAACUUAACUAUAAGCACGUUGCUUCGGCGGGUGUCUCGGAGGGGGUUCUCCCUCCCCGAGACGCUAAACCCGCCGGCAGCCGACUAUACUCUGUCUCUUUGCGUUGGCAUCUCGAGUACAAUCAAACAAGUUAAAACUUUCAACAACGGAUCUCUUGGUUCUG